rnacentral:rRNA from 1 species
AGUGAACGCUGGCGGUAGGCCUAACACAUGCAAGUCGAACGGCAGCACAGUAAGAGCUUGCUCUUACGGGUGGCGAGUGGCGGACGGGUGAGGAAUACAUCGGAAUCUACUUUUUCGUGGGGGAUAACGUAGGGAAACUUACGCUAAUACCGCAUACGACCUACGGGUGAAAGCAGGGGAUCUUCGGACCUUGCGCGAUUGAAUGAGCCGAUGUCGGAUUAGCUAGUUGGCGGGGUAAAGGCCCACCAAGGCGACGAUCCGUAGCUGGUCUGAGAGGAUGAACAGCCACAAUGGAGAGGGGACACGGACCAGACUAGAAGGGGAGGAGGAAGGGGGAAAGAUGGGAGAGCAGGCGAAAGCCUAAUCAAGCCAUGCGGCGGGGGUGACGACGUAGUUGGGAGUGAAACGCUCGUUGAUGGAGAAAGAAAGCCAGAAGUUUAGUACCCCGCUGUUAUGACGGUAACCAAAGACUCAGCCCCGGCUAACUCCGAGCCAGCGGCCGGGGUAAUAACCGGAGUCGCCCCCGUCGGAAU